rnacentral:lncRNA from 1 species
GGGAGGUUCAAAUGAAUUGCUAUUAGCCACAUGGCUUAGGCUUUUAGAGCUGUCUUCUUAACAACUAUCACCUUUAUGGAAUUCAAAUAAGAUGUCACUACCACAAAUUCACACACAAUAUACACGUGCUUUUAUAGAGAAAAUAUAUCUCGGACAGCACUAGCGUACGCGUUGAUAGGAUAUCGGUUCGAUUGUUGUUUUACGUGUUUUGUUUUUUUUGGUUAAGUUUUUUUUUACGUGUGGUCAAAAACAAAAACCAAGCGAUGUGGAAAAGAUAAAGGUCCUGUUCGUUAAUUUACCUAUACUGAUAGCACAUCAUAGGUUGUUGUUCGUUUUACUGUCACGUAACAAGCGACAUACGAUGGUCGCAUGUCGCAAAUCGCAGGUUGUCGUUCGUUUUGAUGUUUCGCGACUGAUCACACGACCAGUCGCGGGUUCCCAUUCAAAUCGCUCGAGAAAACAGCGACUAAAAAGUAAGAAAAUUUUGAUCGUGUGAUUGGUCGCAGAUUGUAGGUCAAACGA